CAUACGACGAGGCGACCCUCCCACCUUCAGCUCCUUUAUAUCUCUGAACAGCAACUGUAUGAGACUGUGGCAGUUCCUGUCAGAACAUCAUGUUUAAACAAGGUCUCCUCAGACUGUCGCUCUUUUUGCUGUGGACUCCAGGUUUUAUUGACGGGAGUGAAGUCACCCAGGACUCCAUCCUGUGGAAAAACAAGGGCGACAAUGCAACAAUACACUGCAGCCACACCAAGGGUUUGCAAUACUACCAGAUGUACUGGUACAGGCAGCUGCCGGGAGAAACCAUGAAACUCGUCGUGUUCACGACGACGUCCAACAAAGAGCACGACUUUGGCGAUUUCAGCAGAGAGAAAUUCUCCGCCAACAAACCCGACGCUGAGAGCGGGACGUUCACGGUGAAGAAUCUGGGGCCGGGAGAUGGAGCCUUGUAUUUCUGUGCUGUGAGUCAACACAGUGACACAGACGCAUGAGACAGUCGAACAAAAACCCCAGUGCACAGUUCAACAUAACAGUCACCAACUCUCAUUAUCUCAUGUACGGUAGGGGGACCUCAAACACCACACACACACCCACUCCCCUUUGAUUCAUCAUGUCAGCUUUUAUACAGCAGCAGUGAACGUCACAAGGUUUUGACACGCCCACUUAAAACUCUUCAUACGUGUCUGUGUGUGUCUACACUGACCUUCAGAACAUGGACAUUAUCGAUGAGU